UCUGCGAACAUUUCUUGAGAUCCUGAAAUUUCAACGUUGAAAAAUUGCAUUUCAAUUAGCCACAUGGUCAAGGAGGUUAGGAGUUUGAAUCGCGAAAACCCUUUCUUUCAUUUAAGAAUUUCCUACGUACCAAAAAAAAUAAAGAUAAUUCCCAACAAAUCAGGAACUCUGGAAUUAUUAUACCUUUUAGAUAUGCAAUUGUUG
rnacentral:misc_RNA from 1 species